GCUACGGACUUAAAUCCGUCGAUUUUAGAAAUCGUGAGGGUUCAAGUCCCUCUAUCCCCA
rnacentral:tRNA from 1 species